CCAGUCUGCGUGGAGCCAACCUUGAAAUACCACCCUUUAAUGUUUGAUGUUCUAACGUGGACCCGUAAUCCGGGUUGCGGACAGUGUCUGGUGGGUAGUUUGACUGGGGCGGUCUCCUCCUAAAGAGUAACGGAGGAGCACGAAGGUUGGCUAAUCCUGGUCGGACAUCAGGAGGUUAGUGCAAUGGCAUAAGCCAGCUUGACUGCGAGCGUGACGGCGCGAGCAGGUGCGAAAGCAGGUCAUAGUGAUCCGGUGGUUCUGAAUGGAAGGGCCAUCGCUCAACGGAUAAAAGGUACUCCGGGGAUAACAGGCUGAUACCGCCCAAGAGUUCAUAUCGACGGCGGUGUUUGGCACCUCGAUGUCGGCUCAUCACAUCCUGGGGCUGAAGUAGGUCCCAAGGGUAUGGCUGUUCGCCAUUUAAAGUGGUACGCGAGCUGGGUUUAGAACGUCGUGAGACAGUUCGGUCCCUAUCUGCCGUGGGCGCUGGAGAACUGAGGGGGGCUGCUCCUAGUACGAGAGGACCGGAGUGGACGCAUCACUGGUGUUCGGGUUGUCAUGCCAAUGGCACUGCCCGGUAGCUAAAUGCGGAAGAGAUAAGUGCUGAAAGCAUCUAAGCACGAAACUUGCCCCGA
rnacentral:rRNA from 1 species